rnacentral:rRNA from 1 species
UACGUAGGGUGCGAGCGUUGUCCGGAAUUAUUGGGCGUAAAGGGCUCGUAGGCGGUCUGUUGCGUCAGGAGUGAAAACUCGGGGCUUAACCCCGAGCCUGCUUCUGAUACGGGCAGACUAGAGGUAUGCAGGGGAGAACGGAAUUCCUGGUGUAGCGGUGAAAUGCGCAGAUAUCAGGAGGAACACCGGUGGCGAAGGCGGUUCUCUGGGCAUUACCUGACGCUGAGGAGCGAAAGCGUGGGGAGCGAACAGG